CAGGUCCUGAAUGAAGACUAAUGGCUUGCUGAAGCCAUUGGUUUCAAACAGGUGCCCAGAGGAAAUUUUUACCAUAGUCUGUUGGCUGUUUUGAAUGUUAGAACAGAAUAGCCAACUCACUGGGGAGUAACAUCC